rnacentral:lncRNA from 1 species
AUAGGGUUUGCAUUUUUUCAGUACACAAACCUCACCUGUUCCUCUCUUCUCACAGGUGUCCAAGGAAACCUGCCUGAACAGAUAAAGAAAGUAUCUCAGCAGUGUCUAGGGCAGUGAAUGGGGAUCUCUUUCUGGCCUCUAUAUUGGACCUCCUUAGAAGGACAGUGGACAUGGACAGAAAGUCGGGGGCUACUGCUAAAAUCUAACAAGUUGGGGAAAAUGCCAAGUCUACGGGAAACAGCUGAGUCCAACUGCUCUCCCACCAACCACCUGCCACUCUGAAGCACAAGGACAAACCCAGCACCUUGCUGUUGACUGGUAGAUCCCAGGCAGAUUUGGCUAUUGGUCUGGAUAGUCUUGCUGCUGUCCUGCCACCAGCGCUAGGAGAAGAUGACCAGAACCUGCUUCCUACAAACAUGCCCUGACAAGGAGCCUGUGCCUCCUACCCUACCUACAGUUUGUCCUUUAAGACAAAAUAAAUAGCUACUUACAAUGAACUUCUUUUGGGAAUACAUUUUCUAGCUUCAUCUUCAGUACCAACAACAACAAUGCCUAUUGAGAGCUAUAUUUUUAUCUUGAUCCUCCAGAGGAUCCAGCUAAGUGACCACAAGUUAUCAUCAUCAACCCCAAAGUUUCUGAUUCAGAAGUUAUACUUUUCCUGAAUAAACUUGUUCUCUGCUUCAGAACAAACUGGCCAAG